CUAGCCGUAAACGAUGGAUACUAGGCGUUGUGAGUAUCGACCCUCACAGUGUCGUAGCUAACGCGUUAAGUAUCCCGCCUGGGGAGUACGCGCGCAAGCGUGAAACUCAAAGGAAUUGACGGGGGCCCGCACAAGCGGUGGAGUAUGUGGUUUAAUUCGAUGCAACGCGAAGAACCUUACCAGGGCUUGACAUGUCGCGAAUCUCAGGGAAACUUGAGAGUGCCUUCGGGAGCGCGAACACAGGUGGUGC
rnacentral:rRNA from 1 species